GAGAAGAACGUGCGUGAGAGCAACUGUUCAUGCAGUGACGGUAUCUGACCAGAAAGUCACGGCUAACUACGUGCCAGCAGCCGCGGUAAUACGUAGGUGGCAAGCGUUGUCCGGAUUUAUUGGGCGUAAAGGGAACGCAGGCGGUCUUUUAAGUCUGAUGUGAAAGCCUUCGGCUUAACCGAAGUCGUGCAUUGGAAACUGGGGGACUUGAGUGCAGAAGAGGAGAGUGGAACUCCAUGUGUAGCGGUGAAAUGCGUAGAUAUAUGGAAGAACACCAGUGGCGAAAGCGGCUCUCUGGUCUGUAACUGACGCUGAGGUUCGAAAGCGUGGGUAGCAAACAGGAUUAGAUACCCUGGUAGUCCACGCCGUAAACGAUGAAUGCUAAGUGUUGGAGGGUUUCCGCCCUUCAGUGCCGCAGCUAACGCAUUAAGCAUUCCGCCUGGGGAGUACGAUCGCAAGAUUGAAACUCAAAGGAAUUGACGGGGGCCCGCACAAGCGGUGGAGCAUGUGGUUUAAUUCGAGGCAACGCGAAGAACCUUACCAGGUCUUGACAUCUUUUGCCAGGCUGAGAGAUCAGCUGUUCCCUUCGGGGACAAAAUGACAGGUGGUGCAUGGUUGUCGUCAGCUCAUGUCGUGAGAUGUUGGGUUAAGUCCCGCAACGAGCGCAACCCUUAUUGUCAGUUGCCAGCAUUUAGUUGGGCACUCUGGCGAGACUGCCGGUGACAAACCGGAGGAAGGUGGGGAUGACGUCAAAUCAUCAUGCCCCUUAUGACCUGGGCUACACACGUGCUACAAUGGAUGGUACAACGAGUCGCGAAACCGCGAGGUCAAGCUAAUCUCUGAAAGCCGUUCUCAGUUCGGAUUGCAGGCUGCAACUCGCCUGCAUGAAGUUGGAAUCGCUAGUAAUCGUGGAUCAGCAUGCCACGGUGAAUACGUUCCCGGGCCUUGUACACACCGCCCGUCACACCAUGAGAGUUUGUAACACCCAAAGCCGGUGAGGUAACCUUCGGGAACCAGCCGUCUAAGGUGGGACAGAUGAUUAGGGUGAAGUCGUAACAAGGUAGCCGUAGGAGAACCUGCGGCUGGAUCACCUCCUUUCUAA
rnacentral:rRNA from 1 species